AGACCUUAGGUUAAACAAAACCCAAGAGCCCUUCAAAGCUCUAAACGUGGAUAUCAACUCCACAGUCUCUG
rnacentral:tRNA from 1 species